AUACGGAGGGAGCGAGCGUUAAUCGGAAUUACUGGGCGUAAAGCGCGCGUAGGCGGCUUUGUAAGUCGGAUGUGAAAGCCCUGGGCUUAACCUGGGAAUGGCAUUCGAUACUGCAGAACUAGAGUAUGGUAGAGGGAAGUGGAAUUUCCGGUGUAGCGGUGAAAUGCGUAGAUAUCGGAAGGAACACCAGUGGCGAAGGCGACUUCCUGGGCCAAUACUGACGCUGAGGUGCGAAAGCGUGGGGAGCAAACAGGAUUAGAAACCCCUGUAGUCC
rnacentral:rRNA from 1 species